rnacentral:lncRNA from 1 species
CCGCACCCCCCGUGCGCGCCGAGCCCCUCUCUCUAUCUGCUCUCCCUCUCUCUCCCUCUGCUCUCUCUCUCUCUCUCUCCCUCUCUCUCCCUCGCGCGUGCUGCGGGCGCGGGUCGCCUGCACGCAGGCCCCCCCUCUCUCUCUCUUUCUCUCAUUUUCUCUCUUCCUCUCUUCCUGGCGAGUGCGGAGAAGCAGCCACGUCGGCCACAGUAAAACUCUCGAUUCAAUUUUUAUAUAGAUAAUCCGGCUAUUAUACUAUUUAUAUUAUCCAUAAUACUAUGCGCUUNAUAUAUAUAUAUAUAUAUAUAUAUAUAUAUAUAUAUAUAUAUAUAUAUAUAUAUAUAUAUAUAUAUAUAUAUAUAUAUAUAUAUAUAUAUGGAGUUCGGCUAUUAUAUUAUUGAUAGUACCAAACAUUUGGUGCCAUCGAAUUUUCUGUUGUUAGAUCUAUCCCUUCGGCGAUUUUCAUUCGUUAGAUCAUACUAUUCAACUAGCCACCUACUCAACCCUAGGGGGCUACCAUCAUUCUGACCGCACAUCCCUUCAUCUAAGGGCCGAAACCUAAUAGCAAGCGGUUUGUACUAUUAAUAGUAUAGUAGCCUAAUUCUAUAUAUAUGUAGGCUCGGGUUACUAUACUCUUAUAAGUAUAGACCUUUUUAUACUUAUAAAUUUUCAGUCGUUGAAUGUGCAUUAGAUUGAUAGCAGUCUCCUAAGAUUCAGUGGGUGGUUCGUUGAAUAGUAUGAUUUAACGAAUGGAAAUAGUCAAAAGGAUAGAUCUAACGGUCAAAAACUUAUGAGUAUAAAGGAGUUUAUACUCAUAAAAGUAUAUAUAGUAGCCAAACUCUCUCUAUAUAUAAUUAUAUAUAAUAUACAUUUUAAUUAUAUAAAAAAUAUAUAUUAUGUAUUUUAAUUAUAUGCAUAUAGAAUUUAGAUUAUUGGGCCCACAAAACCAAACCAGCAAAAUCCUGCUCUAAUUGCUCUCUUUCUCUCUUUUUCACUUCCUCGCAGAAUAGUUUUUCCUAAUUUUUUUAGUAUUAUAAUAUCGUAUUUUAUGCAUUCAUUUCGUACGUUAAAUUAUUAGAUAUUUUUUAUAUCAAAUUUUAGAUAAUAUUUUAUAAAAAUUAAACUAGAGAUUGCACAAUGUUAACAAUUUCAAGCAGCUCGUUUGGGGCUCGAGCUCGCUCAAGUCGAAGUUAGGCUCGCUCAAGCUCGGCUCGAAUUAAUUUCAAGCCAAGCUUGAGCCUAAAUUUUGGCUCGAAAUUAAUUUCAAGCCAAGCUUGAGCUGAGGUAAGCUGACUCGAGCUCGACUCGUUUCCACCCCUAAUCUUAACAUUCUCUGCUUAAUUACUUAUUGUGGAGCCCACCUAAGUUUUUUUUUUUUCGUAUCUUUUUCCCAUUUAAUUUCUUCAACCGCUCACCCCUCUACUCGCCCCUCCACAUGCCGAUGACGCACUCCCCCCUAGACGCCGCUCCGCUUCCUGAUGUGCCCUCCUGGACGAAAAUUUGGGCCGAGUUCGUCGUCUUUCUUCCUUCCCGACGGUUAUCUCCUUUCCCUUUAGUUGCUUCAGCCACUUCCCAUUUAAUUGGUUCAAUGAACAGUUUCGUCUUCCAAACGAUGCUGCUCGCCCCCCUAGAUGCCGCUUCGACUCCUACUGUGCCCUCUCUGGACGGAAUAUUGGGUCGAGUUCAUGGUCGGCCCUUCUUCCCGCCGCGCUGUUCCCGUUAACGACACUUCGUUUCGGCUUAUUGAUCCUCUCCGGUCACAAAAAUGGUUCGAAUUCAUUCUCCACGCUUCCUUCUUGAUGCCUAUAUAAUAUGCCUCUAUAAAAAUUUUAUUUGUGGCAAAAAAAUCCUAUUUUAGGCGCCUCCUUCGACGACAUCCUCCUAGCUAAGAAGGCCAUCAUCGCGACCUUUCCCCACUCUCUAUCUCAAUCUCGAUCUCUACCUCUCUUUGUUUUUCUCUAUAACUAUGAUGUAUUUUCGGUGAUUUCGAGAUGAUUUAGGUGCAAGAUUGUAGACGGAUGAGGAUUUGGCAUUGAAGAAGUGGAAUUGUAUGUUGAAGGAGUGCUUG